rnacentral:tRNA from 1 species
CCUUCGAUAGCUCAGUUGGUAGAGCGGAGGACUGUAGGGGAGAAUAGCAGAGAUCCUUAGGUCGCUGGUUCAAAUCCGGCUUGAAGGA